rnacentral:rRNA from 1 species
AGCGAACGCUGGCGGCAGGCCUAACACAUGCAAGUCGAACGGAUCCUUCGGGAUUAGUGGCGGACGGGUGAGUAACACGUGGGAACGUGCCCUUUGGUUCGGAACAACUCAGGGAAACUUGAGCUAAUACCGGAUGUGCCCUUCGGGGGAAAGAUUUAUCGCCAUCGGAGCGGCCCGCGUCUGAUUAGCUAGUUGGUGAGGUAACGGCCCACCAAGGCGACGAUCAGUAGCUGGUCUGAGAGGAUGAUCAGCCACACUGGGACUGAGACACGGCCCAGACUCCUACGGGAGGCAGCAGUGGGGAAUCUUGCGCAAUGGGCGAAAGCCUGACGCAGCCAUGCCGCGUGAAUGAUGAAGGUCUUAGGAUUGUAAAAUUCUUUCAGCGGGGACGAUAAUGACGGUACCCGCAGAAGAAGCGCCGGCUAACUUCGUG